UGCUUUCCACAAAUUAGAGUCACCUGUUCUGGUUUACCAAACAAAUGCUUAUUUGAGUAAAAUUUAGCCGGAAUUGGCCUUAGCUAGAGUGAGUUUACUAGUUAGCUUCAGUGUUAUUAGCACCGGUUAGACAUGGCAGCGAACAUUCCCCCUCCCGCCGCUAUGAAGCUCAGCGGGGAUUAGAGCAUGAACUGGGAUACGUUUAGAGGUGAAUGGGGGGACUAUGCGCUAGCAACUGGACUUCUGGAAAAGGACGAUGAGGUGGCUGCCACUUUGAGGACUAUAAUGGGAACUGAAUGGCGACACGUAUACAAACACAACCUGAACCUAACAGCAGCUCAGCAAGGAAAUCUGGAUGGCAGACAUGACAGGCAUCCCAGACUGCUGCUAAUCUUUACAAUGUUCCCGAAGGUACUUCCUCCUGAGUUGAUGUUUUUGACCAGUCACUGACGUGCAUGCGCCCGCCGCUCCUUCAUGGGUUCCUUGGCGCACAGAGCGAACACAGGCAGGUACUCCAGCGGCAGGGGCAGACGACAUAGACCCCUAUGGAGCCUCUGGGCAAAGGCCUGCCGCACCUGAUAACGCUCGUCCUGAAGGAAGAAAAAGACACGACAACAGGAUCAUGUUCAGUAUGUACAAAACAGGAUAAAAAUGGUCCAAAACAGUUUAACAGGAAGGUUUUAACUAAACUUUGAAAAGAAGCAAUGGUUUUCUGUUGCAAAACCUUUUGCCACAGUAUGCCCUAACGAACAGAACCCAGAUAAAGCAUAAUCAACUGGUCCAACUUAAAAGAGACAGAGCUGCAAGCACGAAAAUAUACAUUUAUAUUGCCAAUUAAAUUAAGAACUAGGUGUAACGAUGUGUGCUGAGAGCCGGGAAGCAAGUUCAGGGAGCGAGGUU